UCCCGCCCUGCCCCGGGAGCAAACCCAGCCCCCUCCGGGGCGCCCUCCAGCUUUCUGGACCCCCGGGGCCGGGCCCGAGCCCCUCUGGCUGCCGAGUUAAAGGCGCCUUCAGCAAGGUCAAGGCGCGGCCGGCUGGCACCUGGGGAUUUUUCUCAACGGAGCACUAGCUUUGCAAUCGCAUUGUUAAGGAUCAUGGCAGCGGCAGGAAAUCCGAACGGCCUCACAGCCCAUCGACGUGACACGGGCUGCGGCUGCGAAGGGAAGCAGCGAGACGGAGAGAAUAAACGUAACACAAGCAAACUGCUGUCCGCGGAGGGGAGAGGCAAGGGGACGAAAGCCAUACGCGGCACCCACUCCCAUCAGUGCCCGGCUAGCGCAGGAAACCAGGAAUAGGCGUACAUAAUGGUGGCCGCUCCCGCCAGCGUGGGCCUGGAUGGCUGGGAUGUUGGGGCAUCUCCAAGGGGGACAGGCAUCGCGGGCGGGUUUCUAAGCUCGCGAAGGGCACUGGGUGUGAAAGACGGAGAGGGGCCCCGGGAGAAGCAGAGAAGAGGGGCUCUGGGGCUCCCCAGGACACAAAGUCAGUUUCCUAAAACGGCGGUCCCUGGAAGGCCUUCCAACACCCCCCAGGGGAGGCUCGAGGCUCUGAGGACUCAAUAAAACCCGAGUUCUGACCGGC